GGCGAACGGGUGAGUAAUACAUCGGAACAUGUCCUGUAAUGGGGGAUAGCCCGGCGAAAGCCGGAUUAAUACCGCAUACGAUCUAUGGAUGAAAGCGGGGGACCUUCGGGCCUCGAGACUAUAAGGUUGGCCGAUGGCUGAUUAACUAGUUGGUGGGGUAAAGGCCUACCAAGGCGACGAUCAGUAGCUGGUCUGAGAGGACGACCAGCCACACUGGGACUGAGACACGGGCCAGACUCCUACGGCGAGGCAGCAGUGGGGAAUUUUGGACAAUGGGCGAAAGCCUGAUCCAGCAAUGCCGCGUGUGUGAAGAAGGCCUUCGGGUUGUAAAGCACUUUAGUCCGGAAAGGAAAUCCUUGGUUCUAAUAUAGCCGGGGGAUGACGGUACCGGAAGAAUAAGCACCGGCUAACUACGUGCCAGCAGCCGCGGUAAUACGU
rnacentral:rRNA from 1 species